rnacentral:rRNA from 1 species
UGGGGAAUAUUGGACAAUGGGCGCAAGCCUGAUCCAGCCAUACCGCGUGGGUGAAGAAGGCCUUCGGGUUGUAAAGCCCUUUUGUUGGGAAAGAAAUCCUGUCGAUUAAUACUCGGUGGGGAUGACGGUACCCAAAGAAUAAGCACCGGCUAACUUCGUGCCAGCAGCCGCGGUAAUACGAAGGGUGCAAGCGUUACUCGGAAUUACUGGGCGUAAAGCGUGCGUAGGUGGUGGUUUAAGUCUGCUGUGAAAGCCCUGGGCUCAACCUGGGAAUUGCAGUGGAUACUGGAUCACUAGAGUGUGGUAGAGGGAUGCGGAAUUUCUGGUGUAGCAGUGAAAUGCGUAGAGAUCAGAAGGAACAUCCGUGGCGAAGGCGGCAUCCUGGGCCAACACUGACACUGAGGCACGAAAGCGUGGGGAGCAAACAGGAUUAGAUACCCUGGUA